rnacentral:rRNA from 1 species
AUUGAACGCUGGCGGAAUGCUUUACACAUGCAAGUCGAACGGCAGCACGGGGGCAACCCUGGUGGCGAGUGGCGAACGGGUGAGUAAUACAUCGGAACGUGCCCGGUCGUGGGGGAUAACGUAGCGAAAGUUACGCUAAUACCGCAUACGAUCUGAGGAUGAAAGCGCGGGACCUUCGGGCCUCGCGCGAUCGGAGCGGCCGAUGUCAGAUUAGGUAGUUGGUGGGGUAAAGGCCUACCAAGCCGACGAUCUGUAGCUGGUCUGAGAGGACGACCAGCCACACUGGGACUGAGACACGGCCCAGACUCCUACGGGAGGCAGCAGUGGGGAAUUUUGGACAAUGGGCGCAAGCCUGAUCCAGCCAUUCCGCGUGCAGGACGAAGGCCUUCGGGUUGUAAACUGCUUUUGUAUGGAACGAAAAGGCUCUGGCUAAUACCUGGGGCUCAUGACGGUACCGGAAGAAUAAGCACCGGCUAACUACGUG